GGUCACCGCCCUCCAAGCCUGAGAAGCCAUCGGGAUGACGGGAUGAACCGCUGACUGGGCGUGGCGUCCCCACUGGGCUAGGCAAGAGCUCCAUGCGGUGACGACGCGCGGGGACCAGGAGCCCGCGGUGCCCUGAAACCCCGAGAAGAAGUGCUUGGCGAGCGCAGAGCCCGGUGGAGCAUAGCUGGGAGGAAUAGGGAUGGACGAGGGCGGACGGAAGAACAAACCCUCAAACUAUGCUGGGAUUCGGGCACGGGCUGCUUGCUCAAAAAGAGCCCAACCACGAAGGAAUCCUCAAUCUUAUGAUCUGACGUCAGACGCCUCAUCCCUUAGGCCACGCGGUCACAAUUCCCAGGGAGGCUCAAAGACUAGUCCAGGUGCCGCUCCGCUCGGGGGUGGCUACGCGGGCGGCUGGGGCCAGAAGAAGGGUGAGCGCUUCGCUCAAUAGGCGGCCAGGGUGCGAGCAGCUGAGCUGCGCCACGCCGGAGCGUUUAAUGAACAUCAAAUUGGUUUCCCGGGUAGGAAAUUGCGAAAGGAGACCGCGUGGCCUAAUGGAUAAGGCGUCUGACUUCGGAUCAGAAGAUUGAGGGUUCGAGUCCCUUCGUGGUCGGAGCGUUUUAAUCCCUGCAGCUAUAAUUUCCGUCUCUUGUUUUAGACCCAGAAACGCCUCCCAAUCCCUCCACACCGCGGCUCUGGGGAGCUGCUUCUGUCCAAUCAGGCUUUGCAUCCCGGGACGCUUCCGGUUAUGGCGUCAUUACGCAGCCUGUGGCGUCUCCGUCUAAGAAACAUAAUCAGGCACCUAAUGCAGGAGCCUCCAGUGGCCUAAUGGAUAAGGCAUUGGUUUCCUUAAGGCUUGGAAUUUGGGUUCGAGUCAUAUUUGUGGUGGCGUGGCCUAGCUGCUGGGAGCCGUAUUCUUGAAAUCCAUUUUAAUAAAAAUGAAGCCUGACUACUUUGAAAGGCAAACCGAUGUGAGGGGCCAUCCAGAAUUCCUCCUGUUCUCUCCACCCAAGACCAGUCACCAAGUUGAAUGGACACUACUUUUAAGCUUGCUCUGGCUUCCAAGCCCUGGCACGUGGUGGUAGCAGCGUGUCUCUAGCCUGGACACUAGAGCCAUCACUGCUUUUCUGGGCUUCAAGCUUUGGUUCCCCACAAACCACCCUCCAGGCCCUGCCUCUAUGGGGCUUACACUGUAGUAAGAGAGAAGGACAGUGAACAAACUAAUAAACAAGAUGAUUUCAAAGGAAAGAGGGUGAUGGGAAACUAUUGAGUAGUGAGAGAGGAACAUUUGAGGAGGGGCAUUUGGUCCAGCCCUAAAUUAUGGGAAGGGGCCAACCACAUAAAAAGAUCAUAUAA